rnacentral:rRNA from 1 species
GACGAACGCUGGCGGCGUGCUUAACACAUGCAAGUCGAACGGAAAGGCCCUGCUUUUGCGGGGUGCUCGAGUGGCGAACGGGUGAGUAACAUGGGAGUAUCCUGCCCAUGACUUUGUGAUAACUCCAGGACAUAGCGGCUAAUACCGGAUAGCAGCUCCGGCUGCAUGGGGGGGGUUGGAAAGUUUCGGCGGUUGGGGAUGGAUGCCCGGCUUAUCAGCUUGUUGGUGGGGUAGUGGCCUACCAAGGCUUUGACGGGUAGCCGGCCUGGGAGGGUGACCGGCGACAUGGCGCCUGAGAGAGGGAGCAGAGGCGUACGGGGGGCAGCAGUGGGGACUCUUGCCCAAUCGGCGGGAGUGUGAGAUGACGGCGCCGCGGUCGGAAAGACGGCCUUGGGGUUGAGAAACGCUGUCGCCUGAGACGAAGCGGAAGUGACGGUAAUGGGUAAAGAAGCACCGGCUAACUACGUG